rnacentral:tRNA from 2 species
GCGGGCGUAGCUCAGUUGGUUAGAGCGUCGGCCUGUCACGCCGAAGGUCGCGGGUUCAAGUCCCGUCGUCCGCGCCA